rnacentral:rRNA from 1 species
AGAGUUUGAUCAUGGCUCAGAUUGAACGCUGGCGGCAGGCUUAACACAUGCAAGUCGAGCGGAGAUGAGGUGCUUGCACUUAUCUUAGCGGCGGACGGGUGAGUAAUGCUUAGGAAUCUGCCUAUUAGUGGGGGACAACAUUCCGAAAGGAAUGCUAAUACCGCAUACGUCCUACGGGAGAAAGCAGGGGAUCUUCGGACCUUGCGCUAAUAGAUGAGCCUAAGUCGGAUUAGCUAGUUGGUGGGGUAAAGGCCUACCAAGGCGACGAUCUGUAGCGGGUCUGAGAGGAUGAUCCGCCACACUGGGACUGAGACACGGCCCAGACUCCUACGGGAGGCAGCAGUGGGGAAUAUUGGACAAUGGGGGGAACCCUGAUCCAGCCAUGCCGCGUGUGUGAAGAAGGCCUUAUGGUUGUAAAGCACUUUAAGCGAGGAGGAGGCUACUGAGACUAAUACUCUUGGAUAGUGGACGUUACUCGCAGAAUAAGCACCGGCUAACUCUGUGCCAGCAGCCGCGGUAAUACAGAGGGUGCGAGCGUUAAUCGGAUUUACUGGGCGUAAAGCGUGCGUAGGCGGCUUUUUAAGUCGGAUGUGAAAUCCCCGAGCUUAACUUGGGAAUUGCAUUCGAUACUGGGAAGCUAGAGUAUGGGAGAGGAUGGUAGAAUUCCAGGUGUAGCGGUGAAAUGCGUAGAGAUCUGGAGGAAUACCGAUGGCGAAGGCAGCCAUCUGGCCUAAUACUGACGCUGAGGUACGAAAGCAUGGGGAGCAAACAGGAUUAGAUACCCUGGUAGUCCAUGCCGUAAACGAUGUCUACUAGCCGUUGGGGCCUUUGAGGCUUUAGUGGCGCAGCUAACGCGAUAAGUAGACCGCCUGGGGAGUACGGUCGCAAGACUAAAACUCAAAUGAAUUGACGG